UCAGGACUUUAGCAUGUGUCGAGCUGACUUAAAGCUCUCCAGCACAGUAUUUAAUAAAAUUAAACUAAGUUCAGUGGUAGUAAAAUAAAGUCAGAUGUCUUGUGUAACUUGUGUUAGCAGACUGAAAUUCACUUGGCGCACAAGCAAAGAGCUCUCCCUUCUCCAUUGGCUUGCGUGCGCGCAUGCGCACACAUGCAUAAAUGCCCAGUGUGGUUAGGCCAAAGGACAACCCCAUGCACCAUUCUUAAGAAACCUGGAACAGGGUCUCUCCUUUGCCGGGAGCUCACCAAUGAGGCUAGACUGGCUGGCCAGCUCACAGGGGGACCCCCUUGACUCUUUCCUCACCAUUAGGAUUACAAUGACGUAUUACCGUACUUAGUAUUUUUUAUUUGGAUUCUGGGAAUUGAACCCAGGCCCUCCUGUUUGCAAAGUAAGGGCUAUCCUGAACAAUCCCCCAGUGCCUCCCCAUAAUUAUCUCUAUUGAGCGCGUCCAAGUUUGCGCAAAAUGAAAGUAUUCAGUCCGGGUUGCCGCUGGCAGACUGUGCCAGGAAGCUGGGUACAGGGCUCCACCGCUCUGAAGGCGACAGUGCUGUUGAAAGCUACCACAUGUCCGUCCUGUCCCGUGCACCGCGUCUGACUGCCCAGCAGCUGACACUCCACCUUUCCUCAGCCUCUCCAGCAAGCCGGGCUCCUCCAUCUUUCCCCUCCUAGCCAUCUGUUCCUGCUGCUCCUGCAGCCUCGUACUUCCCGCCCUCCAUGGCCUGUCUGAGCAGGCGGGUGUGCAGGCCUCUGAUGAGGUGGGCCUCGGCCCCUCCAUCACUCUCAGCCUCGAGGAGAGCACCAGCUGUCUGGCUUGAUUUGCAUUUUUCUCUUGAAAAUAAUGAAAUUAGCUGUGAGUUUCCUGAGGUGAUGCAAAUUUGGGCUCGAGGUGUCAGUGUGUGAUGGAGAGGGAGGGGAGGUCAGGGAAGCACGAGGAGAGCCAGCAUGCUGCUCUAACACAGAAGGGAAACACUACCAAUGUCACUAGAGAUGCGUACUGGCUCAGGAGAAAGUUAGAUGAGGUUUGUGAAAGGUAAUUUUCUUCCAGUCUGGGGGUGGGGGAAGGCACAAAUGGUUUAGGGACACAGAGGAAACACUGUCCACUGAGGUGAAACGGUUCUCAGUCACUGAGCUUCUGUAGCCAGUCAGAGUUGUCCGGGAAUGCUGACGUGCACAGGCCGUGGACUCUGACGUCAAUGCUUAAUUGCAGGUGCUAACUGACUUCUUUCUUGACUAUUAUCAUGACUCCUCAGGUUACAAGUACAGUAGUUAUCUUCUCAAGGUUUGUUGUAAGGGCUUGGUUACCAGUUGUGAGUGGGUCUCAAGUGGGCUCUCCCUUUUUCACAGUUUUUAAACUACUUCAUUAGUUGUUGUACCUAAGGGAAACACAAGAGACUUGGUUCUCUUCUGAGGCACAUGUGCACGUGAAGAUUUGUAAGCAUGCUGAGGGUAUCAGUCCAUUCAUAGACUUCUUCAAAUGGCCAUCUUCUCAAGCAGAGAAAGAGAGAGAGAGACAGAGAGAGAGAGGGAGAGAGAGACAGAGAGAGAGAGAUAGAUCUAGGAGAGGCAUCUGUGUGGACUCUGGCAGACACUGCAACCCAACAACUGAGUCCUGGUUGUCAGGCUACGCCAUCUCAACCCAGGACUGGACAUCCGAAUACAAAGCCACAGCUUUUGACAUGGGAAGAAAGAGCUUCUUUUAGAGGAAGCAACCUUCAAGAUGUUAGUUGGAUUCGCGUACGCAGUAAAUGAUAUCACAAAAAUAGUACACAGCCUGUCACGGAGGUUGUGAUCAAAUGCUAAAUGGAAACAGUGCAGCUGACCUGGAGUAGCCCUGCAACUCCACUUACCUACUGGGGCGAGGCAAGUGGAUGUGAAGCUGGUUUCCCCCAGUGUCAGCUCACACUAAGCCGGCUUGAGCUGGGUUGAACCAAGAUCCUUGCGCAAAAUAAAAAGUGCAAGCACAUGGGACGUAUGCUGACAAGCUGAAGGCCCUGGGUUCAAUCCCUAAUCCAACAAAAUAAAUAGCAAGUCAAUUAAACUAGUCAGGAGCACCAGAGAUUGAUAUACUGGGAUCCUGCUACCGCUCCAGCGCGCACCUCUAUUCAGGAUGACAAACUCAGGCUGUGGAAGUGACUCCGUGUGUAAAGCACUCGCCAAACAGCUGUGAGGGCUUGCCGUGGGAGUCCCGGUGCUCAUUUAAAUGCAGGAUGGGCAUAAGGGCCUUGCUGAAAUCCUUCCUCAGGAGGAAGAGACAGAGGGUUCCUCGAGCAGCUAAAUCAACAAGCCCUGGCAUCAAGGGAGAGAAUCAGUCUCGACACACCCAAGAAGACCAGCCCAAGAAGUCACCCAACCAGGAAGGCACAUCAACCUUUGGCUUUCAAAUAAAUGUGCACACACCAGCUCCUAACAUAUGUGAACAUGCAUACACACAAGCACAGAUGUACACAUGGAAAAAAAAAGAGGCAGUUGCUGGGCAUGGUGGUACAUGCCUUAAUUAAGUCCCAGUCCUUGGGUGAAGACAGAAGCAGGAGGAUCUCUGUGAAUUGAAGUCUGGUUUGGUCUAUAUAUUAAGUUCCAGGCCAGUUAGGGCUUCACAGUAUACAGUGAGACCCAGUCUCAAAACAACAACAUCAAUACUCAAAUUGCAACCUUUCUAUAUAACAUGGGACAAUUCUGCCUUAUGUUUAGCAUUUUUCUGUAGUCACUUUGGAAUAGUAUUAAACUGGUAUCAGGAACAAUGCAUUGAUUAAGGCAAGUGGUAGCUUUUCCCAAGUCCCAUUGCUGGACUUCUAGACUUCAUGGUCCUGCUCUGUCUUUCAUCCAGCCCAAGUAUGGACCAUUAUUAUGAAAGAUGCUGCUGCGUGGGGUGGGUCUGAGGGGGCAGUAAUGUGCUCACCAGGGAGUGAGAGCCUUCCUUCCCUGUGUUUCUCUUCCCUCUUUCUUCUCUUGCCUUGACUCAUUGUCAUCACCACGAAAGAAGAUUACUUCCUGACAGCUCUUCGUGUCAGUCAAGAGUCUAGGUCAGACACUUAUCAAUUGACCCACUGUUAAAGGUAGACACUCAUUUCAGCAUCUGUCAAUGGUCGCUUUUGAUCCAUUUAGGCCGGAGCCCACAUCCCCGCAGUGAUUUACUUGCAAGCGUGCACAGACUUUUAAAGGCAGACAAACAUGCCAGAACUCUGAAAGUCAGCCGCCUGUGUGUGCUUGUCACUGCUGCAGCUGCCCAGCAAAGGACUUCAGAGAUAAGGCUGUGCCUGGGGAUGGUCCCCUGCCACCCUCAGGGCAGAGUCUGACACUGAAACUCUGUGUUCUCCCAUCCACAGAAGGACCAAGCUGACUCUGUGCAUCUUCCUUGUGUGUAGCCCGUGCGCUCUCUCUCUCUCUCUCUCUCUCUCUCUCUCUCUCUCUCUCUCUCUCUCUCUCUCUCUCUCAGACUGUAGAGCGUGUUUCCAGUGGCUGCAGGCCACAGCUCACCCGCACACAUCCUGGCCAAGCGCGGGAUGAUGGCUGGUGGGGCCACUGUGUGACAUCCCUUUGGACCCACGCAAGCCUCCUUUCUUCUCCAAUCUGGUCGAGCAUCAGGAGAGACUUCCCCACUCCGGGGCAGGUGUCUUUCUCCUCCAGCAGGGAUACUGCACAUUUGUCUUUUCCAGGUGUUUGUCAUAAUGCUGUCAGAACCUCCAAACCAGGAAGACAGGAAAAGAAAUGUGAACAUGUAAGACAUUCAGGGGAGCUGAGGAAAUUUUCCUGACGUGCUCCUGCUGUGACACCGCCACAGUUGAAGAAGGCCUGUCAUUGGGCUGUCAACCUUUAACCUCCCACAGACGUAUUUUGAAAUGAUGUGUAAAGAAUUGCUGUGCCAUACCACUGGCUCCUUUCAGCUCGGCGUGUCUGUCCUUGAUGUCAGUCAAAAGUAGUUAACUGGCACCCAUGGAGCCUUAAAAACCCCUCAACCAAGUAUGGGUAAUGACUUUAGUUAAGAAGACUUGCUCUUGUCAAGUAAUGACUUUUUGACAUAAGGUAUUGUUUACCCAGGCAACGUUCUUUACUUGCAUUUUAAUGAGCCUAAUUAAUAAUAAGUUAGGAGUCCGCAGCUAUUUCUUCACAGCUGGACCAUAUGCACUAAUCUACUUAGUGGGGAGAAGUACUCUAAGAACGGAGAAAACCCCCCAUUAUCCCCCACGUUUCUUCUCUGACUCCACCACGGGAUCUACUGUGAUGCGGGGGCAGUUUGCAGAUCGUUAUGGUGGGCAUCGCUUUCGAAAUGGUAGCUUGCUUCGUGGAUUGUCAAGUUUUCACUUGCAAAAGUUUCAGGAAUUUUCCAGAGAAAAUGACACAGAGAGGUGUUUGAUGCAUCCUGUGGGUACAGAACCAGAAUGGUUCUUGGUUGAAGGAUGAACACAAGGGGUCGUGAGACGUGGUCUCAUAAUGGAACUAUAUCACUUACAACAAAUAAAUACCCUCCAAAGGGCCAUUCGGGAGCGUAUGGAAGCCUUGUGUGUGUCUUAGAGAGUGUGGUUUUAUUGGUCCCCCUCACGAUUACAGUCUUAUGAGCAUCCGGGUGUCCUCAGAAUUAUUUAGAAAUCCAGGUAAGAAUUUGGAACCUGGGCAGAAGAACUUCAAAGGAAACAGACUAUCCAUGGUUGGGCGGAAUCUGACACUAAGAGAACUUUUGCCCCUCACCCCCAAGCAUGCCAAAGCACAGGGAAAGGGCAAGGAGCCUGAUGCCCUAGACUGUUGGUGUGAUGGGCAGCAUGGCACGGAGCUCCUGAACUUUCCUCUGAUUGGGAGACUCUGGGAACGCAGAGUCACCUGGGAAGAGGGACCCUCAGUUGAUGACUGCCUCCAUCAGAUUGGCCUGUGGCACUGUCUGACAGACUGGCUUGCUGGAUGACUGAGGGAGCUUCUGGCCUUGCAGAUUUCACCAAAGAGGAGGCCACUGACAUUGCAAAUGGAGUGCAGUUUUAUUCACCAAGGAGUCUUCACAAAGCCAACUCCUGAACACCUCAUUUCAACCCUUUCUGCAGACAUUGUGCUGGGACACCUGAAGCUAUGUGGUGUGUUUGUUUUCCAACAGAGAUUUUCUUUUUCCUUCUGAAAAAUCUACUGAGUUCUGCCAGAAGAAACUCAUGACAUGUUGAGCACAGGAACGAAUGGUAGCAGAAUUACAACUUCAACCAAGGUCCUGUUUUGAGACUGUUGACAUCAUUAAAACCAAGGGAUGAGGAAGAGCCAUUGGAUCCAAGUAGACGUAUCUAUCCCUAAGAAUAAAUGGAUAAAUUAUA